rnacentral:misc_RNA from 1 species
AAAGUCGUAACAAGGUAACCGUAGGUGAACCUGCGGUUGGAUCAUUAAAAAAAUGAACUGUUUGGGUCGACGGUUGCAGAGUGUGCGUCCAGCUGCUGCAAUCUCCCCGACAUACAAACCUCUUGUGAACUGUUCUGUUUCUGGCGGGUGGAUGGGGCUGCUUUUUCGAAAGUCUCCCCGUCUGUCAGCUUGGGCUUGUUCCCAGCCGUGGACAACCCGCCAAACACUUGCUUGAACCUUUGUCUUUUGUAUAUUUUGUCUGAAACCUUCUGUAUGCACAAUACAAACAACUUUUGGCAACGGAUCUCUUGGCUCUC